UACGUAGGAGACGAGCGUUGUCCGGAGUUACUGGGCGUAAAGCGUGCGCAGGCGGUUCGCUAAGACAGAUGUGAAAUCCCCGGGCUUAACCUGGGAACUGCAUUUGUGACUGGCGGGCUAGAGUAUGGCAGAGGGGGGUAGAAUUCCACGUGUAGCAGUGAAAUGCGUAGAGAUGUGGAGGAAUACCGAUGGCGAAGGCAAUCCCCUGGGCCUGCACUGACGCUCAUGCACGAAAGCGUGGGGAGUAAACAGG
rnacentral:rRNA from 1 species